AUGUUCGAUGUUAUUUUGAAAUUAGGACAAGACAGCCCUCCCAGAGGAAGAAGUAUAAACCCAGAACCCCUGAGGAGAAUGAGAGCAGAAGACCUUCCAUCCUAUAGCACAAAGGAUCUCCCCAUUCUCCCCUUCCCCAAAUUUAAAGCAAUCCUGUAUAUUCAACAGCAACUGUGGGUCUGGUGCCAUGUUGAGAGAAGGGCAUGGGUAGCGAAGUAUGACCUGAGAUCACCCAGGUCUUUCCAGUAAUCAGGAAGGAACCCCCCCCCCCAACCCUGAGUUAGAGAAAACCCUUGCAUUAUGCAGAAUGUCCAUCUCUUCCAAAAGGGAACUAUAUGCCCAAACAGUAGCACCAGAAGAAGGGAAGCCUCCAGCACACAUCACAGCAACCGCAAGAAGAGUAGACGUGCAAGAAGGAGUUUGCAGAAUUGAAAGGAAGAUUCUAAACAUCAGGUCAAUGUGGAACCUGACCCCAGUGCUCCAUGGAGACUAAGUGGUGAAGGGAUUAUCAUAGUGUACACCAAGUAUCUCACAACUGACUCAUAAGCACUCUUAUCUGAGCUACAAGAACUGCCCCUCUCUUCCCCUGCAUGAAUUAAAAUUUCUUACAUUUCCUGUUGAAAUAUCCUCUUUACCUCCUUCAUCCUAUUCCCCCAACCCCCAAUGCCCUGAUUGCUCUAAACAUCUCAGAGGUCUACGGAAACAAUGAGUGAACUGUCACUUUAUUACAAUGAUAAGAUUUUAUGGCUACUUUAAGAGGCAGCCCCCCAAAUCAGGUAUGAUAACUAAAUCAGGUAUGAUAACGUCUUUUAGGUCAAAGAUGUUCAUUCCAAAAAAGUACUCCUUAUCUAUGAAAGUCUAAUAGUUUAUAAAGGUUCCAACUUAAAAUUCUUUUAAUAUAAAUAUUUUUUAAACAUUACAUCUAAAUAGAGAUGGUAAAUAGACUAGUGGUUGCCAAAGAUUCACUGGGGGUGGGGAGAGGGUUGAAUACGUGAAGUGGGAUUUUUAGGGUGGUGAAACUACUCGGGAUGAUAUGUAGUGGUAGAUACAUGACAAUAUGCAUUUGUCAGAACUGAUAAAACUUUAGAGGACAAAGAAUGAAGCUUCAUGUAUACAAAUUAGGAAAACAAAUCAUUCAGAAAGUUAAGAAUCCCAGAAUGGAAUGUAGAUUGUGACAAAGUUUCUGUUCUAAAACCAUUCUCCCCGUGCGCCUGGGUGGCUCAGUUGUCAAGGGUCUGCCUUCGGCUCAGAUCAUGAUCCCAGUAUCCUGGGUUCGAGUUGUGCAUCGGGCUCCCUGCUCAGCGGGAAGCUUGCUUCUUCCUCUCCCACUCCUCCUGCUGUGUUCCCUCUCUUGCUAUAUCUCUCUCUGUCAAAUAAAUAAAAUCUUUAAAAAGACAAAAAAUAAAGUAAAUCAUUCUCCAGUAAAAGGAACCAGAACUCCCUGGAGAAAUGGCUGAUUCUAGGACUGGGGCAGGACAUAUACAAUACAAGCCUGGAGUAUCUCCGAGUGCCAGAAGGUAAGGGAGUGAUCAAAAGCCGACACAGUGAUGGAGCUCAAACUGACGCAGGAGCCAAUAGCCAAAACCGGAAGAUUGUGAGCAGCAAAAUAAAAUGGCAUUCAACUGGAACCCAAGGUAUAAAAUAAAUACCCAUGAGUUUAUACUGAUAUAAAUUAUUGAAUAAAUAAAUGAAGGAGAAUAGACAGACCCCCCUGACAAGAAGAAAUCCAAAUAAUUUAUCUGCCUUCUAGGAGGUAGAGGCUAACACUCCGUAAGCAGAGGCUACACAUAGUUACUACCUUCCAAAGUAAGGACUGUGGGAAGGGAAGAAGAAAGAGUGACUUCACAGUGGAGAAACCUGACAAACACUACCUCGGCCAGGUGACCAAGAGAACAUCAACAGCAAUAAGUCAUGCUGAUGAUAAUUUAUGUCCUUGGUGUGAUGUGUUCGAAAUGGCACUUCGCCUCUGUGGUAAAACAGUAUUAGGCCGGUAUAAUUACGAGAAAGGCAUCAGGAAAAUCCCUAUUGAGGAACAUUCUACAAAAUAUCUGACCACUAUUUUCAAUACUGUCAAGGUCAUCAAAAACAAGGAAAGUCUGAGAAAAUACCACAACAAAGAGGAGCCUAAGAAGACAUGAGGAUUGAAUGAUAUAUGAGAUCCCAGAACAGAAAAGGACCUUGUAUAAAAACUAAGGAAAGUAUGAACUUUAGUAAUAAUGUAUCAAUACUGGUUCUUUGAUUUUAACAAAUGUACCACACUAAUUGAAGAUGUUAAUAACAUGGAACUGGGUAUAAAGUAUAUGGCAACUUUCUAUAUUAUCUUCACAACUUCACUGUAAAUCAAAAAAUACCCUAAAAUAAAAAGUUCUUUUUUUAAAAUGUUAAGUUAAACAGGGUAAGGGUGUUUAAAAACCCAGCUGUUGUACAAAAACGCUUUGCUGAGGCACAUAUGUAUUAAAGUAACUCCUG
rnacentral:lncRNA from 1 species